GGAUGCACAAGAGGUGAGUAUUUCUCCAGGUACUGAUGAGUUGAGUUGAUUAGUACCUGGAAAAUUAACUCACCUCUUGUUGUAUCAUUAUUCAACUUGUUAUCACCCGUUAUCUCAUUUGGUUAUAAUAUUUGGUUCCCAAUCGUUUUCUUCAUUCAAAAUGACUCGAUAACAUAAGAAGUUAACAGUGGUUUUAAUAAUUAAAUCAACUGGAUGGAAACGAAUCAAGGAUAACAUCAACAGCAACAACAACUCAACAACUUAAACAAUAUUGUCUAUGGAAAUGAAACAGCCAUGAUUUUUUGAAUCAUUUGGUGGCUAAAAGUAAAAUAAAAUUCAACAAAAAAUAACAUCAACCGGAGAAAUAAUAUUUUAAGGUAAGUUGACCUUUCCGUAUGUUCUUGAAAGUUUUGUGAUUAGAUUAAGGUUAAUUUUUCAUGUGUUUUGUAUCUUUGUCAGAUUCCAAUUUAAAGAUGUGAAAUUUGAGAAGUAUUUGAUGUGGCUUGAUGAUUUUAAA